AUGUACCACUGUUUCCUGUGACUGCAGUGGUGGAUGUAGUCUACUCAAUAAUGUGAGUAGACUACAUCCACCACUGCAGUCACAGGAAACAGUGGUAC
rnacentral:pre_miRNA from 1 species